UACGUAGGGGGCAAGCGUUGUCCGGAUUUAUUGGGCGUAAAGAGCUCGUAGGCGGUUUGUCGCGUCUGGUGUGAAAAUCCAGGGCUUAACCCUGGACCUGCAUCGGGUACGGGCAGACUAGAGUGCGGUAGGGGAGAUCGGAAUUCCUGGUGUAGCGGUGAAAUGCGCAGAUAUCAGGAGGAACACCGGUGGCGAAGGCGGAUCUCUGGGCCGUAACUGACGCUGAGGAGCGAAAGCAUGGGGAGCGAACAGG
rnacentral:rRNA from 1 species